AAUAUCCGAAAGGACAUAGAAACGAUUAAAAACUACAACAUAGAUUCAGUUACGACGCGAAUCUUAACGGUAACACAAUGAACGGAGGCGAACUAAAUAGAAAACUAUAUUAAUAAGCGGAUAAUUUAAAUAAAAAUAUACAUAUUAAAAAAGUAAAAAAAAAAAUAUUAUUGAUAAAAAAUAAAAAAAAAAUUAAAGUUUUUUUUUAAGUCUAAAAAAAAAUUUAAGUAGAAAAAAAACAAAACAUAAAUUUCCACGACUCUACCAGGAUUUUAACUAAAAUAGAAACGUAUAUAAUAAGUAUAAAUAAGUAUGUAUGUAUGUUAUGUGUAAGAUUUAAUUACAAUUGUGUGCAAAAAAUGCAAAGUGAAAUAGAAUUGUUGCAAUUUACAUAAAUAACAACAAUAAAAACAAAAAGAAAUAAAAAAUAUAUAUUGUAUAUAAUUAAUUAAAAAUAGCGGAAAUAGAAAGCUUUUCAAAAGAUAUUAAAUGCAAAAAAAUAUACAAAGAAAAUUUAAUUGUAUUGCAAUGCAAAAGUGUCUUUUCUUUUAAAAGAAUAUGUAUUAAAAUUUGCAAAGACAACAUCAGCUACAUUAUCAGCAACGAAACAUCAACAACUACUUACUCUUAAACCAGCAGCUGUUUGUAAGAAAUAAAUAAUAAAACUAGGCUGUCAGAACUAAACUACCAGGCAGUUAAGCAAAGCAGUUCAAGAUUUUCGUAUGAUAAUGAUAAUGAUUAUAAUAAAAGUGAUGGAUUCUAAUAAUAAUUGAUUGCGCCAGCAUAAUCAUACAUUUUAUGUGCAUCAACCGCACAUUUGAAACAAAACCGUCUUAUACUCGUGCAGCAUCUUUUAAAUAAAAUUA